GCUGGUGGUAAGGGAUAGAAGGAAAAGAGGAAGCUGAAUGAUCCACCCAGAAGAGGCGGUGAAUUGGGGAAGCAAAUCUCUCAUCCUUCAAUAACGUUAUUUUUUUUUAAAUGAUGAUGCAAUCGAAGUUCAAACUCCUCAAAAUGAUGCUAUUGUUAUUUCAAUGACCAUAGUAAAUUAUGAUGUAAAAAGAAUUCUAGUUGAUAAUGAAAGUUCUGUCGAUGUUUUGUUUUACAAUAUAGUCCAAAAGAUAAAAUUAUCCAAGGAAUGAC
rnacentral:lncRNA from 1 species